rnacentral:ncRNA from 1 species
AAAAGUGCGAUGAAAAGAAGAGUAGUAAAGAAAGAAUGUCCUAAAGAGAGCUAGGUAAGGUGAAAGCUAGCGGCAAGAAUCUUUAUGAAGAUGGCCUUGGAGCAUAUUUCUUGAGCUAUUCAGUUAGAGGAAUACGGGAGCAACCGUUAUAUUGCAGGGUGAUUAAAUUCACCUAGUGAGAUAUUUAUUGUGAAAUAAGUAUGAAUUAGAGUGGUAACACGUAUAAUACGUCUCUAUA